UGAGUAACGCGUAUCCAACCUUCCCAUAACUACGGGAUAACCCGUUGAAAGACGGCCUAAUACCGUAUGACAUCGUUUGCUGACAUCAAAUAACGAUUAAAGGUUUAGCGGUUAUGGAUGGGGAUGCGUCUGAUUAGCUUGUUGGCGGGGUAACGGCCCACCAAGGCGACGAUCAGUAGGGGUUCUGAGAGGAAGGUCCCCCACAUUGGAACUGAGACACGGUCCAAACUCCUACGGGAGGCAGCAGGU
rnacentral:rRNA from 1 species